UCCACCAGGAAGAAUUUUAGAAUUAUAGACAGUCAGAGUUAACAAGGGCUCUGAGAGAUUGUGUCCAGCUACCUGUCUUACAGGAUGGGGACAAAAAGGGACUGAGAAGGGGAGGACAUUUUCAGAGUCACAGCCUGUGAAAUGCUGUUAAAGUGUCAUGUCUAAGAGAUGGCCUUCACGGGGAGACAUAUCUGGUUCUAGGUUGGACUCUGCCACUGAGUAGCUGGGUGACCUUUGGGAGGUCCUGAACCUCUCGGAGCCUCGAUGUCCUGUCCUGUACCACGAGGGGGAUAGUCUGGUAUCUACGUCCUAGAGGAGAAGUGACAAUGAAAUAAGAUGACGCGUGCAAGACACCUGGCGUAGCUCCUGGCAUAUACCGAGUGCUAGAAAUGUUAGCAGCUAUUACAGAUGAAGGCCAGACUAGGGACCUUUCAAAGCAUUGCAAUUAGAGAACAGAAGAUAGAGCCUCAUUAGUGGCCUUUGGCGUUGGAUAUGUCUCCAGUCUGAGAGCUCGGAAUGGUGUGGUCUCCAAGUAUAUCCUGCCUUUUACUGCAGGGGAUUUUGGAAUACACCCACGAAAACAAAAAUCUGAGUUCUGUGAAUAGAGGGUGGCUGCGGUUUGUACGUAGACUCUCAUCUUCCCGUUGCCUUCCAUCCCAAAUGGUGCUACGCUCUUUUCUUCUCUGGGUCCCUUCCCUCAUGUUCUGGGCUGGUUCCGUCAAAAGUCUGAUGGGUUAUGAAUCAACAUUUCUGCCUCUGGGAGGCAGUGGGCUCCAGGUUUGCCGUAAGUGAUCGGACUGUCUUUGGUGCUUUAAUUUGCAGAUUCGUUUCUCCUUAUUGGUGAGCCGACGCCUGUUUUCCUCUUCCACUCAGUUUUCCUUUGGGUCUCUUUUGGGCUUUCCCCAUUUGCAGCCUCUGUCUGCCUCGGGAGCCUGCCUGGUCCUGGAAGCUCCAUUAUCUAAAAUUUGAGCCCUUAGUGUCCUUGCUAGAAACACUUGAAGAAGGACGGUUAAGUUUUCUGUUGACUCUAAUGGCAUUGUGGUGUGUUCAUUAUGUCUUUCUUCUGUUCCUGUCAGCAGGCUGUAACAGGUCCUGUUGGAUUGCACAAAAUGCUCCCCCCACCAACACACACACACACACACACACACACACACACACACACAUUGACAUUGACUCCUGGGCCACCAAUUUGCCGUGUGACCUUGGACAAGUCUCUCCGUCUCUGGGUCUUCUUUCUUUGUUGGUUGAGUGAAGGGAUUAUCUUCCAUGGUCUCUGAGAUCUCAUCCCACUGUCAUGCCCUGGAAUUCUAUGAGUCCACGAUCCUCCUUUGCUUUUGGAGAGGAGACAGGACAGUCGGGCAUGGAGGUUAUGUCUCCAGUCUUCUGAUUGUAAAAGAGGGCAAAUUCCGUUAAGCCCAGUCUGUAAACCACGGAGGGCUUUGCUGUAAGUACAUGAACAUAAAGUUCUAGAACACAGAAGCUGGAAGGUCACUUGAAGAUUCCGGCUCCAGGCGUGGGGGCUUCAGAAGAGAGGGGGGCUCCGGCGUGGGCUCCACACUCCCCUUUUUCCUUCCUUUACUCAAACCUUUUUUGUUUUAUUUACUUUGGCAUUGUGUUUUGGAGCAAAGGAUUUCAAGGCCAUAACACGUUUGAAAAUCA